rnacentral:lncRNA from 1 species
CCUGGGAAGAGCCCACAGCCCAUGGGAAGAGCCCACAGCCCAUAUUCUGAAGAAGGUGUUAUGAACUAGACCAGACAUAAAAGGUGGGUCUUGAUUUAGGAUUAGCAGGGAUGAUUUCCUUAAUUAGUCCACAGUUACAAUGACUUUGCUUUAUAGUGGUCUCAGCAAGCAGUGGAAAAGAUACACAUGAGAUAAGGAUACCUGGUGGUACACAUCGAGGCAGCUUCCUGCUACCUCCUCAAUUCUCGUGGAAGCACACCAGAAGCUAUGUCUCAGCAGCCUGUGCAGAGUGAAGAAUCCUCCGAGUCAGAACACAUAAGCUGCUGAUGCUGUGGUGAGAUGAGCCAUUUGGAGGUGAGACUGAAAAUCUGUCAGAGGAGUUUUCUCUGAUUUUCAUCUUUUUCUCAUGAGCAGAAGUAGAAAUUUUAGAGUUUCCACAGAGUCCACUCUUCUUGGGUCAGAAGAAGUGGUGAGCCUGGCAUUCAGAGAGAUGAGUCUGCUUCUAACAUCACACCAACACCACCAGGGAAGACAGUUGGGCCAAGGAGGUGUAAACGAAGAAAGGAAACCGGCUGUGAAUUGCUUUCUUUCAGCACUGCUUUCAGAUACUCAGCUGUUAAGAAGCAGAGUUGCCAUUCUGUCUAAGACAACCGUCUUUGCUAAAUUAUUCUGGACUGGGUCACAUGGGCCAUUCACAGGUGUUCAAGUGAAAGGCUUACUUUCUUUUUUUUAA